GGACCUGCCAUCCAGGUGCCAGGCCAGGGCGAGGGGUCAGGGAAUGUUUUCCAGGGAAAGAUCUUGACUCAUAGGAACUGUACAUGGAGACGGAAUCAAGGGGAAAGGGCCCGGCCCAACACCACCGCUGGCUGCUCCUUCUCCAUCCCUGUCCGAGUCUGUCCUUCAGAAACGCCCUGUUGUUUCUAGAAAGUGACAACAAACAGGCCAAAGGUGGGGAUCUGCGGCUCGGCUGACCGAGAGCUGCAGAGGUGGGUCCGGCCAGCCCCGUUUCACUGGCAUCCUCUCCUCUCCGCCCACCUCCCUGGACCACCUUCAUCCCUGGCCCCACAUCCCAUCCACGGAGCCAGAGGAAAAGCGUGGGGCCUUCUGGGAGCUCCCUCGGAGGGGAGGGGAGGAGCCUCUUUCCCAGAAACCCUGGGAAAAACCUGGGGUUUCAUUGGCCUGAGCUGGUCACGUGCCCUUCCCUGAACCAAUCACGUGCCAGCAGGAAGGGGAAGGUGACUGCUUAAGCCAAUCAGGCCCCACCCUGGAGCUGUGGGAGGGUCAUUCAGACCACGUGACUGAGAGGGGACUCGGCGGUUCCCAGAGGAGAGUCUGCUGGGCUGGGUGGGAGGAGGUGGGAUGGAAGCUGGGGGCAGCGAACUACCGAGACGGAGAGCGCCGCCUGAGAUGGUUAAUCAUGACGUCGGAUCAAUGUGCAGUCCUCCCUGCGCUCCGCCCCGCCUCCCAGGUCAGCCUAGUGCCCAGGCCCGCUGAGCGGCACGUGGUCCGCGGUCCCCACCCCGCCGGCUCAUGACUCCAGUCUUUAGCCCUGGCUGUGCCCUCCCCCGGGAUUCUCUUCCUCCAUAUCGGACCUCUAGUAUGGCCCUGAGUAACACAUAGUUGAGUCAUCCCUGUUGUGGGUUCUUAUGGCAUCUUGUACCCACCGCCAUCAGAUCGCUUGCAAUGCUGUCAUGGUUAGGGUUAUGUGUGUGCCCUCCCCAAAUAGGCGCGCAUACCACACACACACAUACACACACACACACAGCUUGUGAACUCCUUGAAAGUAUGGACUGAGUCUUAAUCUAUUUUCAGCCUCUAGCCACAGGCUGGUAUAAAGAAGGCACUCAGUAAACUGUUGUUGAAUGGAUGAACAGAAGCCAUUUUUGUUGAAUGCCUGGCUGCUGUGUAGGUGUUUGCAUUUUUGCAAAGGACAGAAUGGAAAGCCAAAGAUACAAAGCUCCAGUGGCGGAAUUUCAGGCUCCUGGGAGGGGGGCCUGGAAGCUUCUAUUGUUUCGUGCCUUGGGGAGGAAGUGACUGUCACAGCAGGUGGAAUCUUCCCUUCAUUGCUUUCCAAUACGAAAUUAGGAAAAUAAUCACAUUGUCUCUUGAAAGACAUGAACUUGUCAUGGAGACAUGUUUCCCUUUGGCUUUCUGGGAGAGAAAACUUCUCUGGUCCUGUCAGUUUCCUGUGGGGAUUCCAGUCAACAGAACGCUCCUUGCUGACAUCCCUGUGGGUGGUGAGGGAGACACCUUGGCUGACUCUAGGGUCAUCUCAGCUCUCUGACCCCCCAGCCACCUGUCAGCGCAGUCCUGGCUUGGCAGGAGAAGUGUGAUGUUAUCUGGGGUUGAAGGUGCCUCGUUCCAUGGAUCAGGCAUUUCCACGUGAAGCCCGUCGGCCUGGCUGCUUCUCCUGAGCUGACCUGGGCCUGUCCUGAUCACUGGGUCCUCUCUGGUCCCCCAGCGGAGCCCCCCGUGCCUCAGCUCUGUGCACUGACAGCCUCUCUGCCCUCAAGCCCGUCCCCUCCAGCACACCCUCCGCUCUGCCCCAGAGUGGUCCUCUACAGCACAAAGCCAACUGCGUCCCUCCCUGCUGGAUGCCCUUCCCAGACUCCACGGUGUCCUCGGGUCCAGGUCUCAUGUCCUUGGCCCUGCACCAGCCACACAGAGGCAGACAUCAGCCAGGUGCACACCAGGCAGAUGCCGCCCUGCUCAUGCUCCUGCCCUUCCUCUGCCUGGAUGCCCUUCCCUCCCUGUCAGCCUGGUGAGCUCUUACUCACUCCUCAAGACCCAGCCCCAAUGUCUCCCUUCUCUGUGAAGCCCUCCCUGAUUCUCACAGUAAAGUCGAUCCUCCCCAGGGGUUGCGGCAGACAGUGAUGGGCUGGGGUGGGUGAUAAUUUAGGGGUGACUGAGCAGAGACCUGAAUGAAGUGAAGGGACAGUAAUGGCAGCAGAGGGAAGCAUGUUCCUGGCAGAGAGAACAGCAAGUGCAAAGGUCCUGGGGCUGGAAUGGACUUAGCUUGUUUGGGGAACAGGAGGAGGUCAUUGUGGCUGGAACUCAGUGAGGGGGAGUAGGCAUGGGGACAAGGUCACAGCGUGGUCUGGUGGGUGGAUUGGGCAUGGUGGGGGGCAUAUGGGCCAUGUCCAGGGCUCUGGCUUUUCCUCUGAGUGUAAAGGGAGCCAUGGAAGGCUGGGAGCUGUGGAAAUUCAAAGGUCACCCCUGGGCUCUGGGAGGACCAUUGUCAGAGGCGAGGCCCAGGGAAAGGGAGCGGCUGGUUGGGAGGCUGGUGCUCUGGGCUGCACGCCCAGGGCUGGGACUGUCUGCUGGUCUGCCCCUCUCAGCAUCCUGCCCGGUCCUAUGGACCCACCUCCCAGGAUGCCGCCUGAGCCCGUCCCCCAGGCAAACCCCUUUGCCCACCCUUUCCAUAAACUGCCCGUCCCUCCGAGUUUCUCGGUCUCCCUUGCCCUCUUGCUGCCCAGUCCUGAGCUCUCCCCUCCAGCCCCAGGUCAGACGGAGGCCUAAGCCUGCCCCUGACCCCUCUUUCAGGGUCUCCUUCUCUACCUGCUGGCCUGAGAGCACCUUGUGGCUGGCAGCCAGAUCUGCCCCCUCCCAAUUCAGCCUUGCCCCAGCCAGUUUCCUCGUCUGUAACAUGGAGAUAGUAAUACCUCGCCCAGAGGGUGUCCUGAGGAUGCAACCUCACAGCCCCCCAGUACAUGGUUGUAUAUUCUAGUUGUAGGUCCUUUUGGUUGUGCCAUGUGGGAUGCCGCGUCAACAUGGCCUGAUCACUUUGGAAAACCUUUUGACAGUUUCCGCAAAAUUCAGACACACACCUACUGUAAGACCCAGCCGUCAUCUUCCCAGGGAUUCACCUGUCACAGAAGGAAGCAUUUGCUCAUGCAAAAGCUUUAUACAGCGGUUCAUGCACAUGGCUGGGGAAAAUCGCACCGGGGGACUGAUAAUGAGAAGUAGUGACUCCCUGGACCUCUCGGCCUGAGCUCCGUGCAUCAGGGGUACCCAAUUUUAACGUGUUUUGCUGUUUCUCCUGCCAGUCUCCUCCUAAAGCUAAAUAAUAUGUUUGUACUACCAUCUCCAGGCCCCUCGCUGUGAUGCAUGCGGCUUUACUUAAUUCCUA
rnacentral:lncRNA from 1 species